rnacentral:rRNA from 1 species
GAUGAACGCUGGCGGCGUGCCUAAUACAUGCAAGUCGAGCGAACAGACGAUGAGCUUGCUCCUCUGACGUUAGCGGCGGACGUGUGAGUAACACGUGGAUAACCUACCUAUAAGACUGGGAUAACUUCGGGAAACCGGAGCUAAUACCGGAUAAUAUAUUGAACCGCAUGGUUCAAUAGUGAAAGACGGUUUUGCUGUCACUUAUAGAUGGAUCCGCGCCGCAUUAGCUAGUUGGUAAGGUAACGGCUUACCAAGGCGACGAUGCGUAGCCGACCUGAGAGGGUGAUCGGCCACACUGGAACUGAGACACGGUCCAGACUCCUACGGGAGGCAGCAGAAGGGAAUCUUCCGAAAUGGGCGAAAGCCUGACGGAGCAACGCCGCGUGAGUGAUGAAGGUCUUCGGAUCGUAAAACUCUGUUAUUAGGGAAGAACAAAUGUGUAAGUAAAUAUGCACGUCUUGACGGUACCUAAUCAGAAAGCCACGGCUAACUACGUG